CGCGUAGGCGGACCUGUAAGUCAGAUGUGAAAUCUCGGGGCUCAACCUCGAAACUGCGUCUGAAACUGCAGGUCUAGAAUCUUGGAGGGGGAAGGGGAAUUUCGCAUGUAGGGGUAAAAUCCGUAGAUAUGCGAAGGAACACCAGAGGCGAAGGCGCCUUCCUGGACAAGUAUUGACGCUGAGGCGCGAAAGCGUGGGGAUCAAACAGGAUUAGAUACCCUGGUAGUCCACGCUGUAAACGAUGAAUACUAGGUAUUGGAGGAUUUGACCCCUUCAGUGCCGUAGCUAACGCGUUAAGUAUUCCGCCUGGGAAGUACGGUCGCAAGACUAAA
rnacentral:rRNA from 1 species